UUGGUUUGCAGUCAACUCAGAGCCAAAUGUUGCUAAUGAUCUACAGCCAUUCCAGAUUUCACAUGAUGGCAAGCAUAUUUACGAGGAAUGAGAUGUUAUCUGUAAGAAUCCAAACAUGCUUUAGAAACCGAGUCGUUCUCUCGAAGCUGUAAAUUAAAGGCAAACAACAUCUCUUUGGU